UGCGUCCUACGGGGGGCAGCAGUGGGGGAUAUUGCACAAUGGGGGAAACCCUGAUGCAGCGACGCCGCGUGGGCGAAGAAGGAUUUCGGUAUGUAAAGCCCUAUCAGCAGGGAAGAAGAAAUGACGGUACCUGAGUAAGAAGCACCGGCUAGAUACGUGCCAGCAGCCGCGGUAAUACGUAUGGUGCAAGCGUUAUCCGGAUUUACUGGGUGUAAAGGGAGCGUAGACGGAAAGGCAAGU
rnacentral:rRNA from 1 species